CCCUCCCGGCGCUACGAUCCGGCAGCACCGGCGGCGCGCGGUACGGGCACGUGGCUGCCGGGAAGGGCCGGGCGGCCCCGGGGCUGCCGUGCCCGCCGGGUGCUGCCGUGCCCGCCUGCGGCUUCUCGAGCUGUUCCACAGCGAGCCCCUUCUCUCGGCUGCGUUUGUUAGUUGGUUGGUUUGGGGUAUUUAAGCCAGCCGCAGGGGUACGGGGGUUUUGUUGGAUUUUUUAAAUGACAAGAAGUCGCAUUUACUUUCGCAAAGCGACGCGUCAACCUGUGGCAACCAAAGCAGCCGGACCCAGCCAACAGCGCCCAUCCCCGCGCCGCCCCCCCGCCGUUCCGCCCGAACCCACCCGAGGCUCUCUUUCCCUCCCACAGAAGCAUCCAACAGAACUCAAGUGUAUCAGGAAGGACCAGGACAACUUCUGUGUGAUUUCUUUAGAGCUUUUUCAUCAAAAGCAAUAUCUGUAACUUCACCAAAUAACCACCAAUAAUAACACUCAGCAUACUGGUAUAAUGAAAGAAAGCAAAUUUAAUAAGGGAAUUACUCAGUUGCAUACCUAGAAAUAUGAACAUUAUUAAAAAAAAACAUUUGUUUUGAAGAACCAAAACUGAAUGGAUGGUGCCUUUUAAAAUAAAUACCUCAUAGACACUUACCAGUCUCUCUUUUAAUCAAAACACAAAAUCUGUUUGAAAUAAACUUCCGUAGGAAAAGAAUAUACAGAAGACGAAUUUGUCUAUAAAUCUCUCAGGAGCUAUCAUUGCUUAAGCUGUCAGCAUCCAGCCUUCCUGGGUCAUAGCUCAUUUCGAUCACCAGAGAAAAUGAAUUUAAGCAUUCCAGCCUUGUCCCCUAAAGGCACGUGGCCAAAACCACUCACAGACUGGCAGUGUGCUCAGGAAUGCAAAGAAAAGAGAUGCUAAAGGUCACACUGAAGCAUCUCCUACACAAUCCUACAAUCGCAGAAUUUUUAACUCCUUGCCUUCAGAAACAGCACUGAAGCACUUACCUGGCUGUUUGGAGUUUAAAUAUACUUUAAACUCUUUAACACCGAGCUGUACUGUAUCUCCCUAAGAGUCUGAAGGAAAUACAGCAGUUAUGUGCAGUUAAGAAAUACUUCUUACUUCAGUGCUGCAGUAGGUAUUUGAUCCACAAAUCUGAUAUACCCUACUACCAUUUCACAACAAUUUCAAAUCUUGGGAUCCAGAAAAAAAGGCAAAAAAUCCUCAGGGUCAGCAAAUUCCAUUAUAGAUGCAGGUGUUUUCUAAGAAAGAAAAGGCUUUCCAGAUGUAUACGUACAUAAGUUUAUGUAAUGUAUAAAGAAACCAGGUAGAUUUAUAAUUACUAUAUAUUAACUUCGUCUCAGCAUCCUUGUAAAGUAGAUAAGGCACGAAGGCACUGGGAAGCAAGAAAAAUGCCAAAAGUAGCAGACUGAGCCGUCAGUGAGAAGAUAAAAACCCUACAGAUGCUGCACAUGCUGUACCUUCAGCCAGGACUACUGGGACCAACUCAGCACUAAGUGGUUUUUUAUUCCUAUGACAUGACAUUUCGGUCUUGCCUAGUUUGAUUAUAUUAUGAGCUUUAUUUGUCACCAUGCAAUUCAAGGUGGGGAAAGUAAGAAAUUGCACUGCACUAAACAGAGCCAACAGAUCCUUCAGAGCUGCUGCAGAUGCACACCUUAUGUUCUCUCUCAAGAGUGCAAGUUACUUAAAAGACAGAAACAACUUGUCAAAAAUGCAUCAGCUACAGAGAACAAACUGCACAUUUCCUCAUUGGAAAGAGAGCAAAGGGGCUUUGCCUCAAACACAGCAGAAGCAAAAUUGCCACAAGCUUCUUACCUCCCACUCACUUGCGAGCUUCACAGGCAACUCUAUGCCCUUCUUCUCCAGCUGUUCCAACUUGUAGCCCUCAUACUUUUUGUAUCCUGCGUAUCCCCCACCUGUAGCCACCAGAACAUGGAAGGGGCGCAGGCGGAAGGCUUGUCCUGCUGGAGCAGUAUGAAGCUUCCUCCUGUCUGUAACAGAGAAAAGCACACUUUCAGAGAGCAGGUAUAAAGUUAAAACAAACACAGCCAAUAUGCACAGUGAGGGAUGUCAGCUUAGAUUAUAUAAACUCCAUUGGAAAUAAAGGAUACAAAAGGUAUUAAUAUAUGCUCGUAUGUGCUCCAGAUAUUGUAGCUUACCAAGUUACUGAAACUCAGCUGAUAAGCACUGACUGCUCAUCUGUGUCCCCCCAACAUUCUUCCCAGAAUGUAAAAUGAGCUGCCUGAAAGCACCACAGGGAUGGGCUUCACAGUGCAUGAUGUACAUUUGUGAACAACUGUUCUCAAGGAUGAAGUACAGGAAUAGGAAAAUUUCAUCAGAAAUCUGAUGAACACCUCGAGAGCUCACUGCGAGUGGCAGCCACUGCCACUGAACCAGCCUGAUGCAUUAGCUUCACAAAAACAAGGCCUGCUGAACUGCUGGAUUCUGACUUCCCCAGGUGUCCCCAAGUGCAUAACAGUUACACUCCAGAGUGUGUAAUAUAACCGAACAGCUUUCAAGAAAUUCCUACCUGUCACCAGGCUCAGUUCAGGACCCUGCUGUUACAAAGACCUCUCAACCAACACCCAGGCAGAUGCCUUCACGUCCCCUUUGCAACACCCACCUGCAAAAUACAGGCUCAGUUUGCCUGGCCUGGCAUGUGGCUGCACAUUGUGGUAGAGACGCUGAGAGCAUGAGAUGCUGCAGGACAUGGUAUUCCUAAUUUGAGAGCUGACAAUAAUCCAAACUCCAGUUUUAGCCAAGCAUUGCUCCGGAUAUUACAGCAUCUAAACUGCUGUCCAGAUUUGCUUCUCUGCAAGACUCUUCAUAUCCAUAAAAUCACUGUGGAAUAGAUGGCACUUCUAGAAGGAAGAAGUAACUUUCAACAAUUGCUAGGGAUUAUUUGUCUAAAAUGCCCCUAUUGUGACAAUAAAUACAUAUAUAUAAAUCAUUUGUUUUUAUAUUUGCUAUCUAAGAAAAAAAGAUAAACAAUGAAUAAUGUAAUGAAAGAACCUUAUGAAAUAGAUAAAUAUACUUAUUUUGCUGCCUGCAAAACACCAAAAGUUUAAAAUCACUAUUUGCAAGCUUAUGUCCGUAGAAAUUCCAUAAAUUGAGUAGGCUGCUGAAUCUGGACUCUCAGUCCACCUCCUUCAAUGUCAAGAACUUCAUAUUCACCACUAUUUGAUCAUAAUUUGCCUAAUUUUGAGUAACCCUGAAUUUAUAAACACUGGAUUACAUAGAAGACACACUUACCACUGAAAAAUGUCCUGGAAGGUGGCUGCUUCCACAGGACUGGAGUUCUAAGGCAUGGGUUCUCACGUAUGAGGAAGUUACAGCCAGUCAGGAAACUGUGAAUACAACAUACAACAGACAGUGGCUUAAGCACAAAUACAAACAGAAUACUCAGAUGCUGAACAACACAGAGGGAAAAUUUCCCCUCAAAGUGCUGAGAUUCAUAAAAUAAAGCAUUAAAAUUCACACUGAAACCACUUUCUUCAGGCCUACCUCCUCCUCUCCCAAUAAAUUGAAAAAUCCAACUGUUUCUGCAGAUACCCCCGUGUUUAAUGAUGUAUCUAUUUCACUUUUCUUACUCCCAUGUAUUUCUACUUUCUUAUCAAAACAUGAACAUAUGUUCCUUUUAAAUAAACGUUCCUUUAUGAUAA